rnacentral:rRNA from 1 species
GCUGGAAUCGCUAGUAAUCGCGGAUCAGAAUGCCGCGGUGAAUACGUUCCCGGGUCUUGUACACACCGCCCGUCACACCAUGGGAGUCGGAAAUGCCCGAAGUCUGUGACCCAACCGGAAGGAAGGAGCAGCCGAAGGCAGGUCUGAUGACUGGGGUGAAGUCGUAACAAGGUAUC